rnacentral:rRNA from 1 species
GACGAACGCUGGCGGCGUGCCUAAUACAUGCAAGUAGAACGCACAGUUUAUACCGUAGCUUGCUACACCAUAAACUGUGAGUUGCGAACGGGUGAGUAACGCGUAGGUAACCUGCCUGGUAGCGGGGGAUAACUAUUGGAAACGAUAGCUACUACCGCAUAAUAUUAAUUAUUGCAUGAUAAUUGAUUGAAAGAUGCAAUUGCAUCACUACCAGAUGGACCUGCGUUGUAUUAGCUAGUAGGUGAGGUAACGGCUCACCUAGGCGACGAUACAUAGCCGACCUGAGAGGGUGAUCGGCCACACUGGGACUGAGACACGGCCCAGACUCCUACGGGAGGCAGCAGUAGGGAAUCUUCGGCAAUGGACGAAAGUCUGACCGAGCAACGCCGCGUGAGUGAAGAAGGGUUUCGGAUCGGAAAGCUCUGUUGUAAGAGAAGAACGGGUGUGAGAGUGGAAAGUUCACACUGUGACGGUAUCUUACCAGAAAGGGACGGCUAACUACGUG